rnacentral:rRNA from 2 species
UCCUGACUGACCGAUAGUGAACCAGUACCGUGAGGGAAAGGCGAAAAGAACCCCGGCGAGGGGAGUGAAAAAGAACCUGAAACCGUGUACGUACAAGCAGUGGGAGCACGCUUAGGCGUGUGACUGCGUACCUUUUGUAUAAUGGGUCAGCGACUUAUAUUCUGUAGCAAGGUUAACCGAAUAGGGGAGCCGAAGGGAAACCGAGUCUUAACUGGGCGUUAAGUUGCAGGGUAUAGACCCGAAACCCGGUGAUCUAGCCAUGGGCAGGUUGAAGGUUGGGUAACACUAACUGGAGGACCGAACCGACUAAUGUUGAAAAAUUAGCGGAUGACUUGUGGCUGGGGGUGAAAGGCCAAUCAAACCGGGAGAUAGCUGGUUCUCCCCGAAAGCUAUUUAGGUAGCGCCUCGUGAAUUCAUCUCCGGGGGUAGAGCACUGUUUCGGCAAGGGGGUCAUCCCGACUUACCAACCCGAUGCAAACUGCGAAUACCGGAGAAUGUUAUCACGGGAGACACACGGCGGGUGCUAACGUCCGUCGUGAAGAGGGAAACAACCCAGACCGCCAGCUAAGGUCCCAAAGUCAUGGUUAAGUGGGAAACGAUGUGGGAAGGCCCAGACAGCCAGGAUGUUGGCUUAGAAGCAGCCAUCAUUUAAAGAAAGCGUAAUAGCUCACUGGUCGAGUC